rnacentral:rRNA from 1 species
GAUGAACGCUAGCGGGAGGCCUAACACAUGCAAGCCGAGCGGUAUUGUUUCUUCGGAAAUGCGAGAGCGGCGUACGGGUGCGUAACACGUGUGCAACCUGCCUUUAUCUGGGGGAUAGCCUUUCGAAAGGAAGAUUAAUACUCAAUAAUAUAUUGAACGGCAUCGUUUAAUAUUGAAAGCUCCGGCGGAUAGAGAUGGGCACGCGCAAGAUUAGCUAGUUGGUGAGGUAACGGCUCACCAAGGUGAUGAUCUUUAGGGGGCAUGAGAGGGUGAUCCCCCACACUGGUACUGAGACACGGACCAGACUCCUACGGGAGGCAGCAGUGAGGAAUAUUGGGCAAUGAGUGCAAGCCUGAACCAGCCAUCCCGCGUGAAGGACGACUGCCCUAUGAGUUGUAAACUUCUUUUGUAUAGGGAUAAACCUACCCUCGAGAGGGUAGCUGAAGGUACUAUACGAAUAAGCACCGGCUAACUCCGUG